CAGUUUUUAGGGCACCUACAGCAAUGCGGGACUAUAUAUGGGGUUAAGCUGGAUACAAGUAGUCAUGGAGGCAAUAUAAACCAACUGUACCCUAAUCCCGAAUCCUUCACCCGUCCAAGCAGGAUUGAGCAGACACUGGGCGCAAACUUAAGUAAAAUGAUAGCCAUGAUAAAGGAGAAAACGGAGGACUCGUGGAAGUGAAUAGCAAGUAAUGAGUAUAGAGGCAAUAAAUGAUAAAAAAAAAACACAUUAGGGUCGUCCUGUGCGGAAGGGCGGCGGUGACUACAAAGUGAAACCCGUAAAACACUGAAGAAGGAUUGGUUAUAUAAAUACAAAAGAGUACGCUAUGGCUCGGAGGAACAGAGAAGGGCAAUUAAGCGAGCACACGAGUUGACUGCCACCUGGACACCAUUACCUAAGAGCAGCGCGCAGGUGUGUGUGACCCAUUGGCCCACCACUCUUAAUGGCCAGUGGAUAUAUCAUCAUGGUGCUGCAGCUGCCACAGAUGAAGUAGUUGGUGUUGUUGCAGCAGCUCUUAUAGGAUGGUGUUUUGGCCAAGCAACAGCAACAAUCCUCACUCCAGGGAGAGUUCCUGCACUAAGGAUUGUGCCGAUGAGCCUGUCUUGAUGUCUGCCCCUCAGAACUCCAUAAAGACAGAGGCAGCUCUCCCCUGUCAGCAUACAGUUCUUGCAUACCUCGGUUUUCUCUUCCUCCCAGCGUUCCUUCCUCAAAGCUCUUGAUUUGAUGUGAUGGCUGUGUGCAUGGCAUCUCUUCUCCUGGGCCAUUGAAGGUGGUGUGUUGGAGGCUUGCAACACCUGAUGGGGAUGACAACACCUUACAGGAUCAGCAGUGCACCACACCUGUAAGAAGCAUGGACUUCAAAAUGAUGACCUUAAGGCGUCUUACUCCUUCUGCAGUGUGAUGUAGGAGUCACACUUCUAGCUUCUUCACAAGAGUUUAUUGUGGUAACAAGAUGAUUAAACAUGAGCAAACACGUGAGAGAUCAAACAAGAGUGAGACAGGUGCAAGUCCCCCAGUAGAGAACCAGCAAUCAUUUGACACUAAUGGAUGAGGUAGCUAAGAAGGAGCUUCUUAAGAACAUAAGAAUGUAAGGAAUCUGUAAGAGGCCGGUUGGCCUAUACGAGGUUAUGGUGCCUUGUUAAGGUGUUGGCAGAAAACAUGUCUAGAAAUAUGUGUAUGGGAUAUAUGUGUAUGGGAUAUAUAUGAAUUUAUCUUAUAUCCAUGUUACUACAUUUUUUUGCUUUGUCCUGUACUGUAAGAAGUAGAACAAAGCA